rnacentral:rRNA from 1 species
AAACUUUACAAUGCGGGCAACCGUGAUAAGGAAACCCCGAGUGCCAGCACAGGCUGGCUGUCCACCAGUGUAAACAACUGGUGAAGAAAGGGCCGGGCAAGACCGGUGCCAGCCGCCGCGAUAAUACCGGCGGCUCGAGUGGUGGCCGCUUUUACUGGGCUUAAAGGGUCCGUAGCUUGAUCCAUGGGUCCCUUGAGAAAUCCAUCAGCUUAACUGCUGGGCGUUCAGGGGAAACUGUGGUUCUAGGGACCGGGAGAGGUAAGAGGUACUGCCGGGGUAGGAGUGAAAUCCUGUAAUCCCGGUGGGACGACCUAUAGCGAAGGCAUCUUACCAGAACGGCUCCGACAGUGAGGGACGAAAGCUGGGGGAGCAAACCGG